GACGAACGCUGGCGGCGUGCCUAAUACAUGCAAGUCGAACGGUCUUUUCUAUGGAAGCUUGCUUCCACUGAGAAGAUAGUGGCGAACGAGUGAGUAACACGUGGGUAACCUGCCCAUAAGAGGGGGAUAACAUCCGGAAACGGGUGCUAAUACCGCAUAGUUUUCUUGAUCGCAUGAUCGAGAAAGGAAAGACGGCCUUUGCGCUGUCGCUUAUGGAUGGACCCGCGGCGUAUUAGUUAGUUGGUGAGGUAACGGCUCACCAAGACGAUGAUACGUAGCCGACCUGAGAGGGUGCUCGGCCACAUUGGGACUGAGACACGGCCCAAACUCCUACGGGAGGCAGCAGUAGGGAAUCUUCCGCAAUGGACGAAAGUCUGACGGAGCAACGCCGCGUGAGUGAAGAAGGUUUUCGGAUCGUAAAACUCUGUUGUCAGAGAAGAACAAGUCGGAGAGUAACUGCUCCGGCCUUGACGGUAUCUGACCAGAAAGCCACGGCUAACUACGUGCCAGCAGCCGCCGUAAGAC
rnacentral:rRNA from 1 species